rnacentral:rRNA from 1 species
AUUGAACGCUGGCGGCAUGCCUUACACAUGCAAGUCGAACGGUAACAGGUCUUCGGAUGCUGACGAGUGGCGAACGGGUGAGUAAUACAUCGGAACGUGCCUAGUAGUGGGGGAUAACUACUCGAAAGAGUGGCUAAUACCGCAUGAGAUCUACGGAUGAAAGCAGGGGAUCGCAAGACCUUGUGCUACUAGAGCGGCCGAUGGCAGAUUAGGUAGUUGGUGGGAUAAAAGCUUACCAAGCCGACGAUCUGUAGCUGGUCUGAGAGGACGAUCAGCCAAACUGUGACUGGGACACGGCCCAGACUCGUACGGGAGGCAGCAGUGGGGAAUUUUGGACAAUGGGCGAAAGCCUGAUCCAGCAAUGCCGCGUGCAGGAUGAAGGCCUUCGGGUUGUAAACUGCUUUUGUACGGAACGAAAAGCCCCGGGUUAAUACCCUGGGGUCAUGACGGUACCGUAAGAAUAAGCACCGGCUAACUACGUGCCAGCCGCCGCGGUAA